rnacentral:lncRNA from 1 species
GAUGAUACAAUCACUUUUCAUGAAAUAUUAUAAUUGUGCUUUAUAAAUUUAUUUCAGCAUCAUAUAUUUACUUAUUAAUAUAUAAAUGUAAUAAAAGUAAAAAUUAUAAUAAUUUAUCAUAAUUUUAAGAAACUAAACCCGUUAAAAAAUAUAUUCUAUAACAAUUAUAAUUUAAUAAAAUAUGUUUCUAAGUAAUUUUAUAUUCCAAAAUAACCAAACAAAAUAAUCUCACGUUAAUAUUCAGUAAUUUUACAAGAUAUAAUUUUAGGAUCACAAUUACCUUCUUUCCAUGUUUGGAAAUAAGUGAAGAUGGGUGGCUGAACCAAGAAGAGCGGGGACGAGGUUGUUGGCAAGUCCGAUAUACAUAUUACGGCCACCUAUCAAUGACUCUAGGAUAGAAUGUUUUGUCAACAGUUAUGUUAGUGACUCGUGGAUCAUAUCCUGCACCAUUGGCGCGGGGUCUCUUAGGUUGAGGAGCCUCAAUUGCUCUCUUCUUCUCUGCCCUGGCUUUCUCCAACAGGGAACUCGCUUCUGAAGAGGAUCAAUAGGAUAUAACAGAAUCAGUGUAUAAAUUCAUUACAAGAAUGAUAAUAAUGCAAAUUUGUAUAAAUUACAAGUAAAAUUAAUGGUUUCUAGUACUUUAUCUGAUAGCCACUUACAGUGAUUUUACAAGCUUCAAAUUCACAGAGAGACAAGAUUAGACUCUAAAAACUACAUCAGCAAAAAUCACUAAACCCUAAAAAGAUGAACAGAAUCGGUCAGAACUCAGAACGAUGAAAUUUUCAGUUUCACUGCCGACCCUCCCCAAAAACAAAUUUGGAGGAAAUUUUCUUUCAGCAAAAAGAAAAAGUAAGAACAAAAGAAAGCCCCAAUCCAAGAAAAAAGAGUGAAAAUGAAAGCAAAAGAAAGGUACAGAAAUGAAGAGAGAAAAAUGACUGAUUAAAUUCAAGGGAAACUGAGUGACAAGGUGACUUAAAUCGAUAGAUAUUCGAAUUAUUGUUUUCUGGAGCACUCUCAUUUUUGCUAUUGGACGUCAAGGAAAGAAAAAUACCUUAUCUUCGUUGUAAAGUGAACUCCAAGUGAUUUCGUCUUAGUGAUAUUCAGGACUGCUCUUGAAGUUGUGCCACGUCUGAUCUAGACACAGACUUGAAGCAUGUUUAGAGGAUAUAACAGAGAUGAGGUUUACUUUUAAUCUCUUCUUUGUUACACUUUUUUUACGAUUCAUGCUACUUAACGAUUUUUU